rfam:Asian citrus Psyllid, Diaphorina citri - Florida Strain, whole genome shotgun sequence.
GUCACUAUGAUGAGACUCUCUCAUUCACCUGAGCGUGAGGUUGUGUGAUCUGAUCUUCUCUAAGAUUAGAUCACACCUCGAUGAUCGCGCCCCAACUCCCGAGUUAGCCGGGUGAAUGAGGUGUCUGAGUGGC